rnacentral:rRNA from 1 species
GACGAACGCUGGCGGCGUGCUUAACACAUGCAAGUCGAACGGAAAGGCCCUGCUUUUGUGGGGUGCUCGAGUGGCGAACGGGUGAGUAACACGUGAGUAACCUGCUCUUGACUUUGGGAUAACUUCAGGAAACUGGGGCUAAUACCGGAUAGGAGCUCCUGCUGCAUGGUGGGGGUUGGAACGUUUCGGCGGUUGGGGAUGGACUCGCGGCUUAUCAGCUUGUUGGUGGGGUAGUGGCUUACCAAGGCUUUGACGGGUAGCCGGCCUGAGAGGGUGACCGGGGACAAUGGGACUGAGAGACGGCGCAGACUGGUACGGGAGGCAGCAGGGGGGAAUAUGGCACAAUGAGCGGAAGCCGGAGGCAGCAGCGCCGCGUGCGGGAUGACGGCCUUCGGGUUGUGAACAGCUUUCGCCUGUGACGAAGCGGGAGUGACGGUAAUGGGUAAAGAAGCACCGGCUAACUACGUG